rnacentral:rRNA from 1 species
AUGGGAUGGGGAAGCAGGAAACAGCAACACGGGACGCCGUCACGCGCAUCGGAGCAAGGAGGCGAGCGCAAGGGCGGUGGCAAGAGCAAGGCCUUCUCCUUCUCCUUCUCGCCGCUCUCGUGGCUCGCUAAGAUAGCCGCCAAGCCCAAGCGCACGCCCGCGUCCACGCACGAGGGCCGCGGACCCGGUGCGAGUGCCGCUGCCGCCGCCCCGCCGUUCAAGUCGGCCCUUCCCGAGCGCGCCAGCCCGGCUAAGGUGGCGAUCGCGCCGGCGGGCCGGCUCAGCUCGCCCUCGCCGCGUCGCUCGCCUGCUGUUCUGCGGCGGCUGUUUGUUGGCAACGACAACGCGGAGGCCGUGGCCGCGCGCGGGCGCCAUCGCCCUGCCGCCGCCGUCGUCGCCACCGAAGAAGUCGUACCAAGGCGGCUCUCUGUUGGCAACGACAGCGCCGACGCCGUCGCCCCGCGCCGGCACUGCAGACCCCGGCGCCACUGCUCCGUCGGCGGUGACCGUGACCUCCAGGCGCCGCUCGGCAAACACAUCCCCUUCUCCCUCGCCGGCUCCCCAGCGCAGCCACGGCCUCCUCCACAGGCGGCAGCAGCUGCGGCACCGUCGGACACGGACGGCGGCGGCGCUCGGCUAAGGCGUCGGCACCGUGGCCGCCGGCACCGCCGCAGCGUCAGCGGCGGCCGGAGAUCGUCGUUCUCCGGAAAGGUGACGCUGCGGGUGAAGGUGCGGUCGCCGCGGCGGUCAGCGCCGGAGCUGGAGAGCCUCGCCGUGGUGCGGCGGACGCGGGACCCGCAGAGGGCGUUCCGGGAGUCGAUGUCCGAGAUGAUCGCGAGCAGCGGAGGGACCGACGCCCGGCCGGAGGAGCUGGAGCGGCUGCUGGCGUGCUACCUCGCCCUCAACGCCGACGAGCACCACGACUGCAUCGUCAAGGUCUUCUGCCAGGUCUGGUUCGAUCACGUCAACCUGCCGCCGCCUCGACGGGGCAGGGACCGGGAGGAACACCCCGGACGGCACGCGAGGCCGUAA